UCUGGGCGUAAGCGUGCGCAGGCGGUUGUGCAAGACCGAUGUGAAAUCCCCGAGCUUAACUUGGGAAUUGCAUUGGAGACUGCACGGCUAGAGUGUGGCAGAGGGGGGUAGAAUUCCACGUGUAGCGGUGAAAUGCGUAGAUAUGUGGAGGAAUACCGAUGGCGAAGGCAGCCCCCUGGAAUAACACUGACGCUCAUGCACGAAAGCGUGGGGAGCAAACAGGAUUAGAUACCCUGGUAGUCCACGCCCUAAACGAUGUCAACUAGUUGUUGGGGAUUCAUUUCCUUAGUAACGUACCUAACGCGUGAAGUUGACCGCCUGGGGAGUACGGUCGCAAGAUUA
rnacentral:rRNA from 1 species